GGAUCCCAUCAGAACUCCGCAGUUAAGCUCGCUUGGGCGAGAGUAGUACUAGGAUGGGUGACCUCCUGGGAAGUCCUCGUGUUGCACCU
rnacentral:rRNA from 1 species